GGCGGUAGGGCACCAACAGGCCAGCAAGUGGCUUUUGCUUGCACCCAUGGGUCCAGGACCCCUAUGAAUGAAGUCCCAGGGCUCACCUUGGGAACUAGAAGUCCUGGAGACCCACACUCACUGAUGAGGGGCUUUAACAUUUCCGAGGUGCCUACAUCAUUCUUGAACUCCAGAGAAGGCCAAGAGUGGGUGGACCUCACCGAGGCAUUUAACCCCCUGCAGCCCGACGAUACAGUCACGAAGAAGCUUUAAACAGAUAAGCCAUCAUACUGGGUGUAGAAAUGUUCCAGCUUCCAUAAUUCUUUAUUAAAUAUUUGACAAGUUGCAUCACUUCUUUACAAUGACUUCACUUUGUCACAUGACUGUUUUGCUGUCAGGAAAACAAUCUACAAUUUCUCAUUCGACUGCUCGAGUAAAACGAAAAGCCCAAAGGAUUCUGUUCU